rnacentral:rRNA from 1 species
UGCGUAGCAUCAGCUAGUUGGUGGGGUAAUGGCCUACCAAGGCGAAGACGCUUAGCUGGUCUGAGAGGAUGAUCAGCCACACUGGGACUGAGACACGGCCCAGACUCCUACGGGAGGCAGCAGUGGGGAAUAUUGGACAAUGGGCGCAAGCCUGAUCCAGCCACGCCGCGUGAGUGAUGAAGGCCUUCGGUCGUAAAGCUCUGUGGGGAGGGACGGAACGGCGCCAUGAAGAGUGGCGAUUGACGGUACCUCCUUAGCAAGCACCGGCUAACUUCGUGCCAGCAGCCGCGGUAAUACGAAGGGUGCAAACGUUGCUCGGAAUCAUUGGGCGUAAAGCGCACGUAGGCGGCUUUCUAAGUCGGAUGUGAAAUCCUCGGCUUAACCGAGGACGUGCAUCCGAAACUGGAGGCUUGAGUAUGGAAGAGGGUCGCAGAAUUCCCGGUGUAGAGGUGAAAUUCGUAGAUAUCGGGAGGAAUACCAGUGGC